rnacentral:rRNA from 1 species
UACAGGCUUAACACAUGCAAGUCGAGGGGCAGCAUGGUCUUAUCUUGCUAAGGCCGAUGGCGACCGGCGCACGGGUGAGUAACACGUAUCCAACCUGCCGUCUACUCUUGGACAGCCUUCUGAAAGGAAGAUUAAUACAAGAUGGCAUCAUGAGUCCACAUGUUCACAUGAUUAAAGGUAUUCCGGUAGACGAUGGGGAUGCGUUCCAUUAGAUAGUAGGCGGGGUAACGGCCCACCUAGUCUUCGAUGGAUAGGGGUUCUGAGAGGAAGGUCCCCCACAUUGGAACUGAGACACGGUCCAAACUCCUACGGGAGGCAGCAGUGAGGAAUAUUGGUCAAUGGGCGAGAGCCUGAACCAGCCAAGUAGCGUGAAGGAUGACUGCCCUAUGGGUUGUAAACUUCUUUUAUAAAGGAAUAAAGUCGGGUAUGCAUACCCGUUUGCAUGUACUUUAUGAAUAAGGAUCGGCUAACUCCGUGCCAGCAGCCGCGGUAAUACGGAGGAUCCGAGCGUUAUCCGGAUUUAUUGGGUUUAAAGGGAGCGUAGAUGGAUGUUUAAGUCAGUUGUGAAAGUUUGCGGCUCAACCGUAAAAUUGCAGUUGAUACUGGAUAUCUUGAGUGCAGUUGAGGCAGGCGGAAUUCGUGGUGUAGCGGUGAAAUGCUUAGAUAUCACGAAGAACUCCGAUUGCGAAGGCAGCCUGCUAAGCUGCAACUGACAUUGAGGCUCGAAAGUGUGGGUAUCAAACAGGAUUAGAUACCCUGGUAGUCCACACGGUAAACGAUGAAUACUCGCUGUUUGCGAUAUACUGCAAGCGGCCAAGCGAAAGCGUUAAGUAUUCCACCUGGGGAGUACGCCGGCAACGGUGAAACUCAAAGGAAUUGACGGGGGCCCGCACAAGCGGAGGAACAUGUGGUUUAAUUCGAUGAUACGCGAGGAACCUUACCCGGGCUUAAAUUGCAGAUGAAUUACGGUGAAAGCCGUAAGCCGCAAGGCAUCUGUGAAGGUGCUGCAUGGUUGUCGUCAGCUCGUGCCGUGAGGUGUCGGCUUAAGUGCCAUAACGAGCGCAACCCUUGUUGUCAGUUACUAACAGGUUCUGCUGAGGACUCUGACAAGACUGCCAUCGUAAGAUGUGAGGAAGGUGGGGAUGACGUCAAAUCAGCACGGCCCUUACGUCCGGGGCUACACACGUGUUACAAUGGGGGGUACAGAGGGCCGCUACCACGCGAGUGGAUGCCAAUCCCAAAAACCUCUCUCAGUUCGGACUGGAGUCUGCAACCCGACUCCACGAAGCUGGAUUCGCUAGUAAUCGCGCAUCAGCCACGGCGCGGUGAAUACGUUCCCGGGCCUUGUACACACCGCCCGUCAAGCCAUGGGAGCCGGGGGUACCUGAAGUGCGUAACCGCGAGGAGCGCCCUAGGGUAAAACUGGUGACUGGGGCU